UGUGUUAGCCCAGGUGAUUCUGGAGAGCUGUUAGUGUGUCACAGGUGAGUGUGUUAGUCCAGGUGAUUCUGGAGAGCUGUUAGUGUGUCACAGGUGAGUGUGUUAGUCCAGGUGAUUCUGGAGAGCCAUUAGUGUGUCACAGGUGAGUGUGUUAGUCCAGGUGAUUCUGGAGAGCUGUUAGUGUGUCACAGGUGAGUGUGUUAGUCCAGGUGAUUCUGGAGAGCUGUUAGUGUGUCACAGGUGAGUGUGUUAGUCCAGGUGAUUCUGGAGAGCUGUUAGUGUGUCACAGGUGAGUGUGUUAGUCCAGGUGAUUCUGGAGAGCCAUUAGUGUGUCACAGGUGAGUGUGUUAGUCCAGGUGAUUCUGGAGAGCUGUUAGUGUGUCGCAGGUGAGUGUGUUAGCCCAUGUGAUUCCGGGGAGCUGUAAGGAGUGUGUCACAGGUGAGUGUGUCGUGGGUUAGUGUGUUAGCCCAGGUGAUUCCGGGGAGCUGUAAGCAGUGUGUCACAGGUGAGUGUGUCGUGGGUUAAUGUGUUAGUAUAGGUGUCGCAGGCAGCUCUAGCAGGGUUA